rnacentral:piRNA from 1 species
UGUGACACUGCUGCUCAUC